GCGGGCCCUACCAAUUGCAAGUUCGAACGGUAGCAAAGAGAGCUUGCUCUGCUGUGACGAGUGGCGGACGGGUGAGUAAUGGCUGGGAAACUGCCUGAGGGAGGGGGAUAACUACUGGAAACGGUAGCUAAUACCGCAUAACGUCGCAAGACCAAAGUGGGGGACCUUCGGGCCUCUUGCCAUCGGAGGUGCCCAGAUGGUAUUAGCUGGGAUGUGAGGUAACCUAGGCGAUAGGCGACGAUCCCUAGCUGGUCUGAGAGGAUGACCAGCCACACUGGAACGGAGACACGGUCCAGAGGC
rnacentral:rRNA from 1 species